GAGUUUGAUCUUGGCUCAGAUUGAACGCUGGCGGCAUGCCUUACACAUGCAAGUCGAACGGCAGCAUGAUCUAGCUUGCUAGAUUGAUGGCGAGUGGCGAACGGGUGAGUAAUACAUCGGAACGUGCCCUGUAGUGGGGAUAACUAGUCGAAAGAUUAGCUAAUACCGCAUACGACCUGAGGGUGAAAGUGGGGGACCGCAAGGCCUCAUGCUAUAGGAGCGGCCGAUGUCUGAUUAGCUAGUUGGUGGGGUAAAGGCCCACCAAGGCGACGAUCAGUAGCUGGUCUGAGAGGACGAUCAGCCACACUGGGACUGAGACACGGCCCAGACUCCUACGGGAGGCAGCAGUGGGGAAUUUUGGACAAUGGGCGAAAGCCUGAUCCAGCAAUGCCGCGUGUGUGAAGAAGGCCUCGGUGU
rnacentral:rRNA from 1 species